CCUAGAACCCUACAUGGGGUGCACAUGCACCCCAGACCGAUUUGUUUUUUAAAUAUUUCAGUUAGUUUUAUAUCCACGUAUUCGCGCGUCGGAGUACUUUAGUUUAGUGUCAACAGCUCGCGUUACGUCAGUGCCACGGCGAUGGCCGCGAAGUGUGGUCGCCUGUAUAAGUGCUGUGGGGUACGCCAGAACCCCAGUGUAGGAAAAUCAUGGCUGUCAGAAGUUUGAAUGAAUUAAAAAACCAGGCGUUGGCCAAUGUGUUUAUUUUAUGGGCUAUUGAAUGCAGUUGGAAUUAAUUCCUGGGUUCUUUACAAAUGUUCGAAAUCAAAUAAUAAGCCAAAAAUAAACUUUCGGCGAACAUUUUUGAAACAAUUAGGCUUGGAACUUAUUCAUGAACAUUUGGAGGACCGUUACCGAAUGCCAACUUUGAGGAGGGAUAUAAAAGAUUCCAUCGCAGCAAUCAUCAAAAAACCCCUAGAUCCUACAACCCCUGUUUCCUCUCGUGCCACACAAGGACGGUGUGGCUUUUGUCCAAGGUCCAAGGACAGAAAAACCAGGACUAUGUGCCAAAGAUGCAAAAUACCUAUUUGCUUAGAGCAUCAAGUAAAAGUUUGCACAAAAUGCUCAAACUAAGUUUAUCGUAGAUUAAUAAGGCUGAUUUGUGAUCUCAAAAUACUAUUUUUUUAUAAUAAAAAUAAUUUUCAUUAA